UACGUAGGGGCAAGCGUUGUCCGGAUUUAUUGGGCGUAAAGAGCGUGUAGGCGGCUUGGUAGGUCCGCUGUGAAAACUCGAGGCUCAACCUCGAGAUGUCGGCGGAAACCACUUGGCUAGAGUCCGGAAGAGGAGAGUGGAAUUCCUGGUGUAGCGGUGAAAUGCGCAGAUAUCAGGAAGAACACCUAUGGCGAAGGCAGCUCUCUGGGACGGUACUGACGCUGAGACGCGAAAGCGUGGGGAGCGAACAGG
rnacentral:rRNA from 1 species